rnacentral:misc_RNA from 1 species
GAAAUGCGAUAAGUAGUGUGAAUUGCAGAAUUCAGUGAAUCAUCGAAUCUUUGAACGCAUAUUGCGCCCCUUGGUAUUCCAUGGGGCAUGCCUGUUCGAGCGUCAUUUGUACCCUCAAGCUCUGCUUGGUGUUGGGUGUUUGUCCCGUCUCCGCGCGUGGACUCGCCCCAAAGUGAUUGACAGCCGGCGUACUGGUCCCGGAGCGCAGCACAUGUCGCGCAAACGAGUGCCUUGGUACGGCGGCGUCCAUAAGCCCCUCUCUCACGCUCUUGACCUCGGAUCAGGUAGGGAUACCCGCUGAACUUAAGC